GUAAAAUUACUCAGUGUCAAAUUUCAAUUGCUUCUCUCUUCUCUCUCUCUCUCUCUCUCUCUCUCUCUGAGCUUCGUCUUCAUCAGCAAAGAAGAAGAGACGAGGUUGUCCACCGGGGUUUUGAACAAGCCUAAGCUUACCCGAGAAGGUUCUAAGAUUAAUGGACGUAAGAAAAAUGCCAAGGUUGGUGCGACCGUGCGACAGAUGAUGGGGUUGCAGCCUCUUUCAUUUGAGAUAGAAGUUGCAUAACCGUAUUCUAAUUUUGUGUUCUUUAAUGUUUUAAUUAUGGGAUUUUGAGUUUUCUUUUUGUUUUUUGUUUUUAUAUUUCAUGCAUGGGUCAAAAGGAUAGACUGUGAAUUGAAAAUUAUGAGUUGUGAGUUCGACUCAUUGAAUACUAGUUAUUGACUUGUUGUAAUUAUCAGUUGUUGAUGUAAUAAACUAAAAUGUGGACCAUGAAAAUUUUGUAUAGAGCAUUAGCGCCCCUUUUGAAGGACAUGGAAUAAUAGUCCGUAGUGACACCAUAUGUAUUAGGUUUUACACAUGAAUUUCCAUGUGUAUCGGACCUAUAUUAUACGGAUUACAAUCAGUAUGGAAUAGCAUGCAUUUUUGCUAGAACUAUAGGUUUUCUCCUUUCCUGACAAUGUUCAAUUGAUCUAAUUAAUAAUGAUUCAUAUACAUGCUCAUCAUUAUUUUGGAAACAUUCAUGUAGGUCAACAGUUAUAAACUUCAGUACUUCAUCAAAGAAGAAAACCACUGUUCAUUUUCGUACACAAUAUUUAUGUAUAAGAUAACACUGCUUCAAGGAACCAUUAAGCUAGCCUUCAGAACCAAGCAUUUUGAUGGGGAAAUGAAAAGC